rnacentral:rRNA from 1 species
GAUGAACGCUGGCGGCGUGCCUAAUACAUGCAAGUCGAGCGAACAGACGAGGAGCUUGCUCCUCUGACGUUAGCGGCGGACGGGUGAGUAACACGUGGAUAACCUACCUAUAAGACUGGGAUCACUUCGGGACACCGGAGCUAAUCCCGGAGAAUAUAUUGAACCGCAUGGUUCGAUGGUGAAAGACGGUUUUGCUGUCACUUCUAGAUGGAUCCGCGCCGCAUGAGCUAGUUGGUAAGGUAAUGGCUUACCAAGGCGACGAUGCGUAGCCGACCUGAGAGGGUGAUCGGCCACACUGGAACGUAGACACGGACCAGACUCCUACGGGAGGCAGCAGUAGGGAAUCUGCCGCAAUGGGCGAAAGCCUGACGGAGCAACGCCGCGUGAGUGAUGAAGGUCUUCGGAUCGUAAAACUCUGUUAUUAGGGAAGAACAAAUGUGUAAGUAACUAUGCACGUCUUGACGGUACCUAAUCAGAAAGCCACGGCUAACUACGUG